GAGAGAUGCUGAGUGCAGCUUUUAACAUUGUCGGAUUCAGUUGGAUAACCUCUCCUGCUGCAACUGAGCUAGAGGUUAUUGUCUUGGAUUGGUUUGCAAAAAUGCUUAACCUGCCAAGUCAGUUCCUGUCAAGUGGUAAGUCUUGUUCAAUAACAUUUUGUUGCACGUUGUGUGCUGUUUGAAAUAUUUGGUGAUCUCAAGAUCGAGCAUAUUGGUUUGGUCUCUUUUAAUAUUGUAGCACCUCCUAAUUUAAUUAUACCUUGCUUUCAAGAAAAAGAUUUAAUAAUUGAGGAACUAAGGGCCUGUUUGGGAAGGGGGUGUUAAAGUUUAACAGGGUGUUAAACUUUAACACCUUCAAAUAAGGUGUUAAACUUUAACACAUUGGGGUGUUUGGAUGGUCUACUAAACUUUAACAUCUUAGGUUAGAAAUGACAAUUAUACCCCCACUCCCCCCUCCUUCCUCCUCUCUCUUCUUCUAUUCGUGCUCGCGGUGGCCUUCUAUUCGUGCUUCCUCCUGUGGCGGCGGCGCUCCGACGGGGGAGGCGGGGGCGGUGCCGCCGCCCUCCGCGCCGCGAAGCCAGCGCGCGCCGGCGCCGCGGCCGCGAGGGUCGCCAGCGACGUUGGGAGCAGCACGCGGCACCAGAGGUCGUCGUCGCCGCCGAGCUCGACGGCAUCCGACGUGAUAUACAUCGACCCGCUCCCGACGAUGGUGGAGGUGGGCCGGCACCGGCCGCAGAGCCCCGACCUCCGCCCGCUCGUGCUCGUGAAGCAGCCGAGCCCAGACCUCCGGCCGUUGCCGCCGCUGAGGCGGCCGGCGACGCAGCCACCGCCCCCGCCACAAGCGAAUCCCCCACGGCCUGCUCGUCCGCCGCCGCCCCCACCGCCGCCGAGGCCGAGGCCUGCUCGUCCGCCGCCGCCCCCACCGCCGCCCCCACCAGCUCAUGCAGAUCGAGGCCGGCGACCUCACCCGCGACAACCCGCUGCUCGCCGCCCGUGCGAGGCCACCCGCACAAGGCCGCCGCCCGCCGCCCGCGUAGGAGCGGCGCGGACCUCUACGGCGACGUGCUCGAAUCCGUGGUGGAGCGGGUGCCCGCACCGGACCUCGCCGCCACGGUGCGGGUGUCGCUCGGGGCGAUUGCGGGCGUCGCCGUGGUGGCCCCCCGCGUGUGGAGGUCCGCGAGGGCGGCGGGUGGACGGCUUGCAGAGGGCGGUGGAGGCCUCGUUGGAGGCCGCGCCGUGGAUCUGUGAGCGGGGAUGGCCGGCGGGAGGACGCGACGCGGGAGGGAGAAGAGGGGCAGCGGAGGAGAGAGCAGGGGCAACCAGGGAAUAAAGUGGGGAGGGGAUCACUUUUAACACCUUUAGCAAGUUUUAACACCCCCUUGAGGUGUUAAAGUUUUUGGGGGUGUUAAACUUUAACAUCUAAGUUUUAACACAUCUGUUUGGAUCUCAAAGUGUUAAAAAGUGUUAAAACUAGGGUGUUAAACUUUAACACACUCAAUCCAAACAGGCCCUAAGAGGCACCGAGUGUUGAAGCAUCAACCCAUACCCAUUGGUAAAUCCAAAACCAGGUACGUAGCGGUGAAGGCCCCCGUGUCGUCUCCUCUGGGCGACUCGGGCAGCACGCCCGAUGCCCGCCGCCGCCACCCCCUCCCAGCCUUCUCUCCACCUUGCCACCGCCGGAGCAGGGUGCCUUCUAGGAAGGCGGCGGCGGGGGCUUCUCUCGCCUGGCCGGGCACCUCCUGCUCGGGUCAAGACAAGGCGG
rnacentral:lncRNA from 1 species